GAUGAACGCUAGCGGAAGGCUUAAUACAUGCAAGUCGAGGGGUAACAUGAGAGCUUGCUCUUGAUGACGACCGGCGAACGGGUGAGUAACGCGUACACAAUCUACCUAUAAGAUCGGGAUAGCCCUGGGAAACUGGGAUUAAUACCGGAUGUGGUCACAUUAUCGCAUGAUAGAGUGAUUAAAAGUCAGCUGCUUAUAGAUGAGUGUGCGUACUAUUAGUUUGUUGGUGAGGUAACGGCUCACCAAGACUACGAUAGUUAGGGGGCGUGAGAGCGUGGACCCCCACACGGGUACUGAGACACGGACCCGACUCCUACGGGAGGCAGCAGUAAGGAAUAUUGGACAAUGGGUGAAAACCUGAUCCAGCCAUUCCGCGUGCAGGAUUGACGGCCCUAUGGGUUGUAAACUGCUUUUAUAUGGGAAGAACAACCGAGAUUUAUCUUGGUGUGACGGUACCAUACGAAUAAGCACCGGCUAACUCCG
rnacentral:rRNA from 1 species